CCCUGCCAUUUGUACACACCGCCCGUCGCACCUACCGAUUGAAUGGUCCGGUGAAGCCUCGGGAUUGUGGCCAGUUCACUUUAUUGGGAGUUGGCUGCGAGAACUUGUCUAAACCUUAUCAUUUAGAGGAAGGUGAAGUCGUAACAAGGUUUCC
rnacentral:rRNA from 1 species